rnacentral:lncRNA from 1 species
UUAUCAAUAAUAACCACUUAUAUUUAUUAAAUCAUUAAUAUUUUCUAAGUACUAUUCUAAAACCUUUAUGUUUUACAGAUGAGGAUACCUACUUUCAAAGAGUUGAAGUAACUUGGCCAAGGUUACAUAACUAGUUAGUGAUGAAGCUAGGAAUCUUGCCCCAGGAUGUUGGACUAGACAAUCCAAAUUCCAAUUUAACUAUAAAGACUUUAAAGGAGUUUCUGCCACAACAACCCUUGGACAUCCUAGGGCUUAUUACAAGAGUAACCGUCUCUCUUUUAAAGUAACCUAUGCACCCAGCUUCCUCCCAGCGGGGUAGAAUUUCUCACCUGGGAAGCCUAGCGAUUAUCUCUGGUUUGCACACACAAAAAACACAUGGAUCAUUUGAGAUUCUCAAUUGGCUGUGAUGGUAAAUCAUUAUUUUUAAAAAUAGAUUCAGUACACAGAGGUCUUAUCUGCAUGGUUCUAUAUUUCACUGCUAUUUUUUAUCUUUAAAUAUUAUUAAUCAUAUGAGCAAGUUAGCAAAGCACUUUCACAUAUAUUUCUUUCACAGUCAAUACAAUUGCCUGUUUUGGAUGAAAAGACAGACUUAUUCUGUGAUUUUCUCAAAAGCACACAGAUAAUAAGUGGUUACAUUGGUGUUUGAACUUCAAAAUCUCUUCUUUGCAAUCUUCCCAUCUCCAACAUGUGGUUGGCCACAGAUACAGGUAAAUUUAUGUGAAUCAUCAAGUAAUAAGAAUCCCGACUUCCUUUGGCUGACUGCUUUGCUGCACUUUAGAAGCUCAGGUUGCAAAGUUUAGAUCAUUGAAUUCACCAUUCCUCCUCUUACUUCACCAGUUUCAUCCUCCACUGUUUGGAGUACCUUUUUUUUUGUUUUUUUGUUUGUUUUUGUUUUGAGACGGAGUUUCGCUCUUGUUGCCCAGGCUGGAGUGCAAUGGCCGACGACUCACCGCAACCUCCACCUCCCAGGUUCAAGCGAUUCUCCUGCCUCAGCCUCCUGCGUAGCUAGAAUUACAGGCAUGCGCCACCACACCCAGCUAAUUUUGUAUUUUUAGUAGAGACAGGGUUUCUCCAUAUUGGUCAGGCUGGUUUUGAACUCCCGACCUCAGGUGAUCUGCCCACAUUGGUCUCCCAAAGUACUGGGAUUACAGGUGUGAGCCACCAUGCCCGGCCUUGGAGUACCUUUAAUAGGUGGUAGUCCAGCCUCCAAAGGUAGCUGUGAUGGUCAAUUUUACGUGUCAACUUGUCUGGGCCACAGCAUGCCCAAGUAGCUGGCUAAACAUUAUUUCUGGAUGUAUCUGUGGUGUUCCCAAGUGUGUCUGUGACCUCUCCUCCACAAUAUUCUCUGAUGAAGGGGUACAGCUUUUCUGCAAUCUAUGAAAAUAUAGAGAGGACCAAAUGUUUAG